AAGCUCAUUUCUGCUAUGUAUCUGAACCUCAAGAAUUUAAUUCAAGUCUUUCACCCUAACUGAGUGACCUCAGCUGGCUCCCACAGGCGGCAUCAUCAGACCAGUUAGCGAUAUGGGCCCUGCUCCAAAACCCAUUGAAGCCAAUGCAAAAAGACUCCUGUUGAUUUCCAUGGGCUUUAGAUCAGCACCAGGGCCCUAUUCUUCAAGUUCCCUUUACACGGAUCUCUAACUGAAGCCACCUCAUGUGGUGUCAUCAGGAUUAAUUCAUUACCAUUUGCAAAGUGCUUUGAGAGUCUCCGAUGGAAGGCAAUGGGAGUUUUGUGUACAAAGGACUUGCAGCAUUGGAUCCAUUAAUUGUGCAGCAUUUUU